CUGCAGUAGAGGCAGGAAGCACAGUGGAGUUUAACUCUUGUGCUGGUGGCACACCAUGGUCAACCACUGUUACCACUAAUUGCUAGUAUUGAGGGGACCUUACCUCACCCAUGAUCCUGGAUCCUACCCCUGACCAGCUGAAGAAUAAUGGAGGCUUCAUGAAGAAAUGAAGCACAAGUUGUUUUCUACAUCUUGGUCCUAGAUCUAAAAGCUCACCAAGUCCAAGUCCACUGACCUGUAGACUGAGCCUAGGCUCACCAUUCAAGUUACUAAAAACCAGGUGGAAGAGAAAACAUGGAGGGAUCAAGAAAUAAAAAGAAAGUCAUGUGCUGAAGAAUAUGAGGGAAGAGUGGAGUUAGAAGAGGAACAAGGUAAGUAGAGCCCAGAUUAUGGAUGGCUUUAUAGAGUAUGUUAAGGAUAUGGCUCUUUAACCCCAAAGCAAAAGAUGGCUUUUGAAUGGCUUUAACCACACAUGAAGGUAGGAAGGUAAGAAUGUGGUCAGAUUUAUUUUUUGAAAAGAUACAUAGACUGGAUGUGAGGGAUUAGUAAAAGUGAGGUUGAGAUGCUAUUGCAUUGAUCCAUGGUGAGAAAUCAUGGUAGUCUGGAUUGGUAUAUUGAUAUAUUGACUGUAUAGAUAAAGGAGAAUGGAAAUGAAAGGAUUGAGGAUGCAUUUAAAACAUAAAAGUCUGUAUUACUUGUUAAUGAAUUGGGUAUGUGGUACAAGGAAGGAGGAAGUGUCAAGAAUGACUUCCACAUAGCUUUUAAGCAACUGGAUAAAUAGCAAUGCCAUUCAUUGAGAAAAGCACAUGUGAAAGUAAAGAUAAUGCAUUUAGGUUUACACAUAAUACACCUUAGAUCCAAGAGAAGAUGUGGCAUAAGCAGAUAUCCAUUUAGGACUCAGAGGAGAGGUCUAUUAGCACUGGAAAUU